UGGUGUUUGUGACCAGCAAAUUGACAGU
rnacentral:piRNA from 1 species